ensembl:lncRNA
GUUCCCGGAGCUCCGCCCUCCGAAGCCCCGUCUCCGGAGCCCUGCCCCCACAUCUCCGCCCAGCUGCAGCCCAGCCAGCUCGGCACUGUUUGCUGCAUGCCAUCCGUCUUCCUGGACGUUUACAUCCACGGAGCACAGCUCAUACCCUCCAAAGCAGUGAGCCCUUUAGUUGUUUAAUUUGCUGUGAGAUAUGGGUGACAGGAGCAAAGCACUGAGGGGCCAGAAGCUCCAUGUCCUCAUGUGGACACUGUUAGUCACCUGCUAUCUGCUGCUGAAUGCUCAGCUCACCUGGUAUUGACAGUCAUGACACCGCAUGGCAUGAGCAAUAGAGGAAGGCCUUUCUGGCUCUCAGAUGUCAUCGUGAAUGCGUAAGGAAUAAUCUGCAGUGCCGAAUGCAUGGCAGCAGUGUUUGACAGCAAGAUACGCCCAUCUGAGGACCCCAUACCUACAUAUGGAUUUGCAAUGUCAUUGGACGUGCAGGAGGAUCUGAAACAUUGUUUCGUGACUAUGCUCUCAGGAGCGGCUUCACAGCUUGCAGGCAGCCAGGAGAACCAAUGCCAUUCUAGCCCUGUCACUUUGAGAUGAUAUAACAUGAUUCUUCCUGUUGUCAUGGCAGUGAAUAAGAUGUAGUAACUACGCUCCUCAGUCCUGAUGUCCUGAUGUCCUGAUGUCCUGAUGUCUGUCCCCAGCCCCUGCCCCACUCCUUGGUAUGCAGCAUCUCCUGCUCCAUGCUGCUCUUCAGCCCUGAACUCUCCCGGAGACCAGGACACGACUCUUCCACUGACUUCACAAGCUAAGUGGAGCCCACAGUGAACUGACUGACACCUAAUAGGAAUUGCUUUAGAGCAGACAGCACCUUUGAAGCCUCCUCGGUGUUGUCAGGAAAUGGUUAAUCAGGGAAGGCCUUGAACCGGGGCUGAUUAAUUAUACUGCACAGGAAGUACAGGCCUCUGUCACUGCUCAAUGGGGAAAUCCAUUUUCAAUUCUGACUUCAAUACGGAAGUUGGUCUUCCUGCUAAAAGCGUAUAUGAUCCAUUACUGCAGAGCCCAAAGGGCCACAGGCAGAGAGAAAGCACCCUGGCUGAUGACACUUGGCCUAGGAUGGAGCAGGCAUCCUGAUGGAGAUUGAUAACUGGCCCAGGAAGAUCCUGAAAUUGGUCUGGUCAAACUUGGAAUCUGAUGCCUGCAGUGAGUUCUUCAGCAAGUCUGCUUCCUCCUAAUUAUGAGACACGUGUUCACAUGUUCUUCCCUGAUCCUACUAGGGCGUAGAAAGCCCCACGGCAUUUGCAUGUGAACAGGUUACCAAGCUGAUGAAGAACUUCAUCCUAGGGCAUGAAGGCAGCUGUAGAGCCGCCAUUCUCAAGGAGUUACCAUGGAGACAUGGAGGAAAGAUGCUGCCAGGAAGAUGUCUGAGGCAGAGACAAAGAGAUUGGGAAAUACCUUCUCCCAAGCCUCCAAUUGGCUGAGCUCAAGUCACCUGUCACACAGUGGGGAAAGAUGAGCUACAGAUCUGAGGUCACACAGCUCCAGAAGCAGCACAUUCUUUCUUGAUCCCAGAAGUAACCAAAGGUAGUUACUAGACUCUACAUAUCACUGAUGGAGGCAAAACUCUUGAAGAUAUUACAGACCUAUAGAGCCAAUGGCAUACAGCGGUAAAUGGUGGGACUGACACAAGAACUUAGCUUUUCCAUCUGUGCACUCCACUCUGUUCAUUCUCCUGACUUGGCCCCACUGUGAUGCAGAGGCCAGGGACAUCGACUGAGACAACACGGCUCUUCCAAGCUGGUUCAUGGUAGAUGUCUUUAACCUCCUGUUCCUUCCUGUGCCAGGAACCAGUCAGGGUACCACAUGGUGUUCUGGCUCCAGAGGCUAUUAUCAUGGGCCAGGACCACCAGGCACAGAGGUGGGCUUGUGGAAGGUCCACCCCAACCUCCCCAGCCUUCAUCAGAGCCUCUGAAUGCCCUUCAGAAGGAUGGAACAAUGGGCCAACAUGUGGGCCAUGCCAGCUCAUUAUCUGGGCCUCCUUCUGCUCCCUGGAUCUCCAACCUUGCUGGACAGGCUGCAUUCUGUGUUCUGGUGUCAGAUGGCCCGGUUCCUCCUCUCGGUGGGGCUGGAUUCGGUUGAUCCUCAAGCUUCCAUUUGGCUCAUAAAACACAAACAUCUGCUAGGGUUCUGAUUGGUCUGUGGAAGGCUUCCGAGCUGAGAGGGAUGGAGAUGAGGUAGAGAGGCCCAGAAGGCAGGAGGGUUAGUUAGACACUGUGGGGUGAGGGAGCCUUUGUGGAGACAGAGCCCUGAGUAGCACAGCCCCCACCCCCAGGUCUAGGAAGUGAGAAGAUAGCAUGGAGUAGCACUGGGAAGCCUUCCUCCAUUGCUCAGCUUCCUCCAACUGUUCCCUUUCUCACCAGUUGGCUAUUAUUUUCUAACGCAUUUUGAUAAUUACUUUAUCAAUCAAGAAAGAUUAAACAAAAGCCUAAAAAUACAGCUGAGUGAGUUGCUGGAGCCAACCCGUCUUGGUUACUCUGGUUUGGAGAAUCUUUAUAACAGAUGCUCCAUGCCUUACUCACAGCCGGUUCAGUGGCAUCCAUCAAUCCAUUCUACCCACCUAGGUCUUGGUAAGGGCCAAAGGACUCCUGUAAGUUCAGACCAUGCCAGCUAAGUUAAAUACCUCCCUGGCCAGCCUCCUCCUUAUUAGAAAUACUCUCCAUCUUUGAUUUGCUUAUUUAAUCAGCAGAUUACUGGGUCAACAGUUGAGAGAGCACAGUGUCAUAUGCCCCCUCUUAAAACAGGAGUAUAAGGAGGAUUUGUUCUACUGUAACUGUUUAGAAAGAAAAAGUGCCCAUUACUGAAUGAUGAUGGCUCGGGUUUCAGAAGCCAAGUGUUGUCUGGUUAUGGCCUCUGAAUGACUGGACAGAAACCAUCCCAUAAACCUCUCCGAGUGUGUCACAGAGGGGCCCAGCCCGCCCAGGCUUGGGGAGAGCCCCAGGGAAAGGGCCAGGCACUGCAUUAGUGGGAAGGCAAUGCCUUGAUUUGAGCCUUAGUCCUAAAUCUGUCUGUGACUUGGUACUGAGCCGUCAUUAGGGAAAUCAGUCCAGUGACCUGUGGAAGGUCCUGCCUCUUCCCUUCCUGGGUUUCCUGUUUCCCUGCCAAGAGGGGUGUGGAGCUCUGCACAGGGCUGACUGUGGUGGGAUGGCUCUCCACAACCCCAGCAGAUACCAUAGGGACAUCAGACCUGAAGGAAACCAUCCAAAUUAAAGCUGCUCACGUAAAAGCUAUCAGGAGACUCGGGAACGAUUGUCCAUAUGGCACCCCAAAGCUUCCAAAAGCUAUAGAGAAAGGCUUGGAGGGAAAGCUUCCCUCUCCAGAGACAAGGAAGGUGGAAGCCAAGCAUCUGUGGAGAGCUGGAAUAGGCGCUCCUCCUGAUACCCACCCCACCUCCCCCAAAUCCCCCGGGUGGCCUAGAGGAUCAGUGUGUGACAGCCUGGGCCGCAGGGUCACUGCUGCUGGCUGCUCAGGCUUUUCCAUCAACUGGGCUUAUGUUUUCUAGCAUAAAUGAACUCUACAGUUACAUUGUGUGGAGGCUUCAGGACACACUUUGCCAAAUGGAAAAACAUUUGGAGGUUGGGAAAAUAUCUUGCACAUAAAUUACCGAAGGCGCAGAGAAUCUAAACGAGGGUUGAAAUCAGAAGCCAAGGAAAAGCUAAGAGGGUGCCAAACUCAAAAAGGAGAGAGACAGCGAUGGGGAAGCAAUAUAAUGAUUUCUCUUAAUGACUGGAAAGGCAAGUUUGUAACCGGCAUCGGAGCCUGGAUAUUGGGAAACAGGCUCUAAAGGACAGGGUCAAACUCAUUUUUCAUCCAUGGGUUCUGCACUGGUUUGUUAAGUGCUGCCCACCAGACAAGAGCAAAGAAAGCUCAGUAUGGCAAAGGCCAGCUACACACUUGUUACUGUUUGAUUUAUGACACUGAAGAGAUGGAACUAAGAGGGGUCUCUCUCUCUCUCUCUCUCUCUCUCUCUCUCUCUCUCGUGGUGGAAACUAUUAAAGUAGAGGCAGACCAGGAAGUUUGUGAUAAAGAAAAACCAGGCUCCCUGACAUGCAAUCUCUCUCUUGGCUUAAGUAAACUUGCUCCUUCAAGGCCUGCCAUCAGCAGAGGUCCGGCUCACAUUUCACCACUAAAUCUGAGUCAACAACCCCUAAUCUGGACACUGGGUUCGGAAUCCAGUCUCAGGUUGCACUUGGAAGCUGACAGCAGGGACGAGAGGAGAGAAAAAUACGGCCUUUGUUUCUGGUUUGAUCGUCCCCACCGAGUGAGCUGAGGUCAUGUGUCGCUUGCUGUCAUCAACAAGAUAAAAGUUUGCACCUCUCUGGCCCUGCCAUGUCUCUCCUGCCAUUUAUGUGCAGGCCAAGACGCUCUGCCUGCCCAUUGGAGGGCCAAGUUUGUGGAGAGCUUGGAUUUGGAGCCCUUUUCAUCUUUCUGACAUGUGAUACCGUGACAGAGGCGGCCCUCUCGGGGUUGCUAUGCAGAUAUACAAUUUCUGAAAAGUAACAGCCGGAAAAUGAAAACCCUGGGCUGGAUUAGUAUUUCACAAAGAAUGGGGCUAAAAAUGUGCAGCAGUUAGACUCAAAAGCUAAAAGAGAAAGUGGGGGGAUAGAACUGGGGGGAUGAAUUAAAGUUUCACGAAAACAAACUUUUUAAAAAAAUCAAUUCGUAUAAAAGUAUCUUAUUGCAUUCCUGGCCUUCAGACCUGAGCUCCAAUCCAGCCUCUACCUAUGAAGGUUACACAUGGUGUAAACAGGGAGGUGGGGAGCUGGUUUUGGGUGUUCAGGAGUAUGUUGGUAAAAGAGCUUCCAAUGGAUCCUG